CACGGGUUCUGAAUUUCUGGAGAGUGUUUUUGCUGGUGUUGAAGUUGGUAUAGUGUUUCUGUACUUGGCGUUUUUUGUUCAUACUAGUUCGUAACUGUCCUUUAUGCCUUAACAAGCUUAAAUGAUCAUUUAUUCUGCUGGACUAAUCCUGAAUAUUGAUGCACAGGCUCGAUGCUUAUUUGUUUCGUCGAUUUCAGUUAUUCAGGAUUCACUCCACGAACAUAAACAACGGGUGGACUUGCCAAAAAGUACUUUUCCUUCGGAUAAAGAGAGAAGACAUUUCUACCUUAGGUUAAAGAGAGAGAGAGAAGACAUUUCUGUAGAGCAUCAGGUUUAAUCCUUAAUGGGCUUAUAUGCUUAUAGAGAUUGAAUGAUCUUAUUUGUUUGUUAUUCUGUUUAAAUCAAACUUGAACUAAAUUUAUUGUUUGUAUUGGUAUUA